rnacentral:rRNA from 1 species
GACGAACGCUGGCGGCGUGCUUAACACAUGCAAGUCGAGCGGUAAGGCCCUUUCGGGGGUACACGAGCGGCGAACGGGUGAGUAACACGUGGGUGACCUGCCCUCAGCUCUGGGAUAAGCCUGGGAAACCGGGUCUAAUACUGGAUAUGACUCCAUGACGCAUGUUGUGGGGUGGAAAGCCUUGUGCGGCUGAGGAUGGGCCCGCGGCCUAUCAGCUUGUUGGUGGGGUGANGGCCUACCAAGGCGACGACGGGUAGCCGGCCUGAGAGGGCGACCGGCCACACUGGGACUGAGACACGGCCCAGACUCCUACGGGAGGCAGCAGUGGGGAAUUGUUCGCAAUGGGCGCAAGCCUGACGACGCAACGCCGCGUGGAGGAUGAAGGUCUUCGGAUUGUAAACUCCUGUUGCUCGGGACGAAAUGCUCCAGCCUAACACGUUGGAGUUUGACGGUACCGGGUGAGGAAG